rnacentral:rRNA from 1 species
AUUGAACGCUGGCGGAAUGCUUUACACAUGCAAGUCGAACGGCAGCACGGACUUCGGUCGGGUGGCGAGUGGCGAACGGGUGAGUAACAUAUCGGAACGUAUCCAAUAAGGGGGGAUAACUAAUCGAAAGGUUGGCUAAUACCGCAUACGCCCUACGGGGGAAAGCAGGGGAGCUUCGGACCUUGCGUUAAUGGAGCGGCUGAUAUCUGAUUAGCUAGUUGGUGAGGUAAAGGCUCACCAAGGCGACGAUCAGUAGCUGGUCUGAGAGGACGACCAGCCACACUGGAACUGAGACACGGUCCAGACUCCUACGGGAGGCAGCAGUGGGGAAUUUUGGACAAUGGGCGCAAGCCUGAUCCAGCCAUUCCGCGUGAGUGAAGAAGGCCUUCGGGUUGUAAAGCUCUUUCGCAAGGGAAGAAAACUUACUUUCUAAUAAAGAGUGAGGUUGACGGUACCUUGAUAAGAAGCACCGGCUAACUACGUGCCAGCCGCCGCGGUAA